GUCGAGCGGAUGAGUGGAGCUUGCUCCAUGAUUCAGCGGCGGACGGGUGAGUAAUGCCUAGGAAUCUGCCUGGUAGUGGGGGAUAACGUUUCGAAAGGANCGCUAAUACCGCAUACGUCCUACGGGGGAAAGUGGGGGAUCUUCGGACCUCACGCUAUCAGAUGAGCCUAGGUCGGAUUAGCUAGUUGGUGGGGUAAUGGCCCACCAAGGCGACGAUCCGUAACUGGUCUGAGAGGAUGAUCAGUCACACUGGAACUGAGACACGGUCCAGACUCCUACGGGAGGCAGCAGUGGGGAAUAUUGGACAAUGGGCGAAAGCCUGAUCCAGCCAUGCCGCGUGUGUGAAGAAGGUCUUCGGAUUGUAAAGCACUUUAAGUUGGGAGGAAGGGCAGUAAGUUAAUACCUUGCUGUUUUGACGUUACCAACAGAAUAAGCACCGGCUAACUUCGUGCCAGCAGCCGCGGUAAUACGAAGGGUGCAAGCGUUAAUCGGAAUUACUGGGCGUAAAGCGCGCGUAGGUGGUUCAGCAAGUUGGAUGUGAAAGCCCCGGGCUCAACCUGGGAAUUGCAUCCAAAACUACUGAGCUAGAGUACGGUAGAGGGUGGUGGAAUUUCCUGUGUAGCGGUGAAAUGCGUAGAUAUAGGAAGGAACACCAGUGGCGAAGGCGACCACCUGGACUGAUACUGACACUGAGGUGCGAAAGCGUGGGGAGCAAACAGGAUUAGAUACCCUGGUAGUCCACGCCGUAAACGAUGUCGACUAGCCGUUGGGAUCCUUGAGAUCUUAGUGGCGCAGCUAACGCGAUAAGUCGACCGCCUGGGGAGUAC
rnacentral:rRNA from 1 species